rnacentral:rRNA from 1 species
GUUAGGAAUAUUCGUCAAUGGGGGAAACCCUGAACGAGCAAUGCCGCGUGAACGAUGAAGGCCCUAUGGGUUGUAAAGUUCUGUUGUAUGGGAUGAACAAUUAGAGUAGGAAAUGGCUUUAAUCUGACAGUACCAUGCCAGAAAGCUCCGGCUAACUACGUGCCAGCAGCCGCGGUAAUACGUAGGGAGCAAGCGUUAUCCGGAUUUAUUGGGCGUAAAGGGUGCGUAGGCGGUUUAUUAAGUAUAAAAUUAAAGCCCGAGGCUCAACCUCGGUUCGUUUUAUAAACUGGUAGACUUGAGUAAGGUAGAGGCAAAUGGAACUUUUAGUGUAGCGGUGAAAUGCGUAGAUAUUAGAAGGAACACCAGUGGCGAAAGCGAUUUGCUGGGCCAUUACUGACGCUGAGGCACGAAAGCGUGGGGAGCAAAUAGGA